rnacentral:lncRNA from 1 species
AAAGGAAAAGGAACCCCAGGAAAAGAAAAAAUGCUUAAACUGAUAGAAGAAGAAGAUGCUCUUAUGAGAGGUAUAAUUUCUAGUUUCUAAUCUCUUUCAUCUUUAUGUCCACUAUAAUGAUCUUCACUGUUUUUUUUUUCAGAAUUUGAACCUAUCUUUCAAGCUUGAAAGCUACUGAUUGCGGCUGUUGGAGACUCAAGACUGAAUAUCAGUUUGUUGUUGUUAUUGUGUUUUCCUUCUCGUUGCCUAGUUUUUAUUUUUUGAAGUUUUACUUGGUCAGUUUGUUGUUGUUAAAUUGUUAUGUCUACUACUCUACUUAUGAUUUAUGUUAAACUUGUGUGUGG